rnacentral:lncRNA from 1 species
UCGGGAUUCUGUAACCAGUAUGACAGUGGAAUAAUGGCUCCUUUAUCACUAGGUUUAUAUCCUGGUGAAAAAAUGCUAACAUUUAGUCUACAACAAAAUGACUUAGGGACAGCAAAGAAGGAGAGCACACUUUAGAGGUUGGGCACAGAAGGCCUGACUGGAAAUUGACAUCCAAAUACUGAUCAGAAUAUAAUGAGGACAGAGCAGAGAGUUAUGCGGGAAAGAAUUUUCUAGAAAAGGGAGUUGCUUCAUGGAAAGACUGAGGCCAGAGUGUACUCAGGGAAUCUGUGACAUAAGAAAGCCAGGCGGAGAGUAGUGUGAACAAGCAAGAAAUUGGCAGGAAAAAAUAAGCCACCACCCACACACAGAACACUGUAUGAAUCUAGAGAUUUUACUCUAAGUAAGAUAGAAUUUCAGAGGACACUUGUGGCUGAAGAAUCCCCAUCAUUUGGUGCUCACUUUUAAAGGAUCCUAGCUGCUGAAGAAGGAAGGUAGGUCAGACAGAAGCAGGAAGGUUGGGUAGGAGAGUGGUUCAAAGGCAAGGCCUCCUUUCCUUGGGUGUUUCUGAAAGAAAGGAUAAGUGAAUCGGAAGGGCCCACAUUCAACAGGAACUUUCCAAAUGUGAGGUAGGAUUCUUUGGCAGAAUUUUUUUUUUAAAUGGGCACACAUACUAGUUGGUUCUUUAAUCCCAUGAUCAAGAACUAUUUUGAAAUAAUGCCUACUCGCUGGUCGAUUUCUAGUGACCUCUCUGGAGCCUGGCCAUUUGGUGUAACAGAAAGUAACAUCCCAAAUCACACCUGCUGCUUCACACAUGCUCAGCAGUCUGGUUCCUCGCUACACAGAAAGGGCAGAGAGCCCAAGCACUACUCUUCCUCCCAUCCCUCUACCUCUGAUGAGAAAGAGGAGAGGAGAUGCAAAAGAAAAGGCCACCAGAUGGAAAGACCCUUACAAAAAUGAGCUUCAAAAAUUCUAGAGCCUUCCAGAAGCCUUGUCCAGAGAGACUUGAAUCUAUUUGCAUGAGUUGCUUUGGGUAUUUUGGUCAUCUACUGACAUGAUUUGGUGGUAGCAACCCCUUCUUUUUCACAAGCCAGCAUUCACUAAGAGGUCUUUUGUGUCAAAAAGAAACUACUAGUGUGGGUGUUUUGAGACAGUUUGGGGGGGCAUUUCAUGCUCCAUGGGCCCCAGUAGUGAAGGGGUCAAGGUUCUGCUUAAAGACCACAGAGGCUUGAGGAUGGAUCAAGAAGCAAAAGAAAGCCUACAAACAUGGCUGCUUUUCUUCUCAGUCCAUUUGCCAACACCUUCCACAUCCGCUUACUGUGAGUCCGGCAAUGUUCCAACCUUUUUGUAAAUAUUUAGUCAGUUAAUAAGAUUGACAAUCAUGACUUCAAUAGUGCCACUGUCCCUCAUUCAGGGUUCAAUUUACAUUUAUUGAGCAUUACACAGAUGAGCAAAGGAAUUCAUGAAGAAGCUAAGACACUUAUCUGCGGUUCCAUAGAUUAUUUUAGGUUGGAACCCCUGGAGCUCUGGCUGCCCCUUGCUGUGCAGAUAAUUUGAAUAUCUAUUAGAAAUGCUUUUAGCUACAAGUAAGAGACUGCUCAAAAUAAACAAAUGUAAACAAUCAGGAAUUUUCACCAAACAAGAAAUCUGGAGGUGGUCUUAGCCCCAGAUGAUGGACUAUCCCAUCAAUAAUUCUGUCAAGGAUCCAGCUUCUGUUCUUCCAUUCUGGUUUCCAGUUGUGUGGUUUAUCAUCACCUCAUAGGUUUAACAUAGCGAUGGCCUGCACCUCCAGGUGACUUUAAUCCAAAUGUCAGGAGACCAAGACAAGAGGAUCCGUGUGGCUUUCUGUCCAGCCAGCAAAACUAAUUGACAAAUUCCAAGCCAAUGGGAAACCUGAGAACCCUGGAGAAAGUAUUGAAUAUGGUGGCAGAUGCCUAAGCAGGGGAGGGAAAAUGCCUUCUUCACUCUUCUCCAGGUUUCUAGGCCCCUUUCCCAGUUUCAGGAAUCUUCUAUGUCUUCUGCAAAGAGCAUCUCGUUCUCUUAGGGACAAUAUCAUGGCCGGAUCUAUCACGUGAGCAAGUCUGUCUCCUACCAGCUCUGGAGAAAUCAGCUGUCUUAGAGAAUUGCCUCAAACAUGAAAUGAAGAGGUCUAUCCUUGCUCUUUAUCAUCUGUGUGACAUCCGCUGAGUUACUUGGCAUCUCUUAAAUCAAUGCUUCUCACCUCGGCUUCUCUGGAUAUCAGAAUGAUCGGUGAGUGCCAUGAGGUCCAGCUUUCCGAGAAG